UACGUAGGGUGCGAGCGUUGUCCGGAUUUACUGGGCGUAAAGAGCGCGCAGGCGGUCGUUCAAGUCGCGUGUGAAAGCCCCCGGCUCAACUGGGGAGGGUCACGCGAUACUGAUCGACUCGAAGGCAGGAGAGGGUAGUGGAAUUCCCGGUGUAGUGGUGAAAUGUGUAGAGAUGUGGAGGAACACCAGUGGCGAAGGCGGCUUCUGGUCUGUAACUGACGCUGAGGCGCGAAAGCGUGGGGAGCAAACAGG
rnacentral:rRNA from 1 species